UACGAGGGUGCAAGCGUUGCUCGGAAUUAUUGGGCGUAAAGGGUAGGUAGGUGGUCUCAUUUGUCUGGGGUGAAAGCCUUGAGCUUAACUCAAGAAGUGCCCCGGAAACGGUGAGACUAGAGUCUUGGAGAGGGUCGUGGAAUUCCCGGUGUAGCGGUGAAAUGCGUAGAGAUCGGGAGGAACACCAGAGGCGAAGGCGGCGACCUGGACAAGUACUGACACUCAACUACGAAAGCGUGGGGAGCAAACAGG
rnacentral:rRNA from 1 species